CAGUCAUGUUGCAACUUCUGUACAGUUUCAUCAUCAAGUAGCAAUCUACUUACCAAGUGUGGGAAAUACUACCAUUAAGGAUGAGAGUCUUCAAUAGCCGGAAAACACAGAUGGGAAGAGAAAAAAGGAUUUGAGCACAUAAACAAAGAAUCUUGCAGGUGAUGGACUGGGCUGUGCCGAUGACAGCUGACCCGUGUAUGCGGCAGCUGCAACCAGGCGAUUCUGUGGACAACUUCUGGCUUCUCCAUUUUCCACACAUUCAUCCUCAGUGACUCUUCCCUCCCCUCUCCACUAAUCCUCAGCACUCCCUCGGAUCGGUCAACUUUAAAAUUCCUUUGGAUUGAGAAAACUGUGGGACCUGGGAAAAGGUGACGUGUUAGAGAUUAUGCUGCCAUCUAAAGGACAGAAGUGGUAGGAAGCCUGUCUUUGCAAAUUUCGUCGGCAAUGCGGGAGGCUAAGACCAACUCCGCCUGCUCAGAAAACCUCUUGUUCUGUCUGGGGAAGGUUGUCGGGGAAUUAGUACAAAUGGCUGCAAAAGACUGAAAGUCAUAAAAUCACUUCAUAUCUGUCCCCCCCCCCUUUAAAAUACAAAUAUGUGUGUGUGUGUGUGUGUGUGUGUACUGGGAAAGGAGGACUUUUUUUUUUUUUUUGACUCAGAGAAAAGAUCCCAAAAUAUCGACAGUGGUUGUCUUUGGAUGAUGGAAAUAUGACAUUUUUUUUCUUCUUUGUUCUCUUCUCUGAAGUGUCUUCAAAGUCCAUUAUGACUUAAAUGAUUAUUUUUAAAAAAGGAUUUUUUAAGUGGGGGAAUAAGCAAGGUUGAGCUGGAAAAUGUCUGCCUUGUGAAGAUGAAAUGGAAGGAAAUCUUUGAUCAAAUAAAAAUUAUGUUGAAAGAGUAA